UGUGGCUGUAAUGUGAAAUGUUUGUGUACUGUGCUGGAAAAUGUCUCGGAACCAGAAGAGUGUGUGAGGAGAUUUCUAGUAUUCCUGUAUGGAGAACCUUCCUGACCAGGUCAGAGGCUGGUCUGGCCUUAGAAGCCAGGAUGUGUUUGGAUUGGUUGGGAAAUGCAGGCAUUCUAAGACAGUAGUCUCUGUGGUGAGUUGCGCAGCGUUUCCUUCAGAUUUCAUAAGCAGGAAGCCCUUUCCAGCACGUAAGAAUAGCAGCACGUAGACACACUGCCUUCCAGUAGCGAAGAAUGAAUCUGCAUUUGGAAAUGGACUCUUGAAAGAGGCUGCUGUAGUUAUUGGAAUGUAUUUAACCCUGGAACUCAGACUGGAAAGCCAUUUUUGGAAGAAGAUCUAGACACUACCAGAAGGAGCAGAACUGAUUGCCACCACAACAGUGAGCAGGAUGGGUAGAAACCAAAGUAACAUCACAAUUGGAUGCUCAUUGUCGUUAAAGAAUCCAGGAGAGACAGCAGAGCCAACGGCAUUCAAAGACAAGGAGGUGCAUGAGAGAUAAGGGUAGCCCAUUUGUCAGUGAACUUCCAAAAGAAGGGAGUCAACUACACAGCAUGGACUUGGAAGUCCCAAAGACCUGCUGUCCAUGUGACAUAAACAUUAGAGCUGUGUAUGACUCUAAUGGGGAGCCAUGCUCAGCUCCCAGGAGGCUUGAGAUACUGUUGGUCUACUUCUCUACUUUUCUCAGACUCAUUCUCUUCAGAGUUUCAUAUAAAUUAACCAAAUAAUAGAGUCUCAUGUGUGUCCAUCUAUAUUUAAAAAUAACAUUCAUGGAUUUAAGAUUCAUCUACG